UACGGAGGGAGCUAGCGUUGUUCGGAAUUACUGGGCGUAAAGCGCACGUAGGCGGCUUUGUAAGUUAGAGGUGAAAGCCCCGGGGCUCAACUCCGGAACUGCCUUUAAGACUGCAUCGCUUGAAUCCGGGAGAGGUGAGUGGAAUUCCGAGUGUAGAGGUGAAAUUCGUAGAUAUUCGGAAGAACACCAGUGGCGAAAGGCGGC
rnacentral:rRNA from 1 species